CCCUAUUUGCUUUUUUGCUGAUAUCGGACCGAUAUUUGGUAUCAAUAUCGGAUCGGUACACGGCGAGUCAUGUUUUCAUAACUUUGACUUUGUUGGAUUAGUUCAAGCAUCUUUAAUGCGCAAAAUGUAAUAAAUAAUUUUUCAACUUUUUCAACAGUAAGCUGAAUGAUGCGGACACGUUUGUUACUGGAUACUUUCCAUUACACUUCUGCCUUGGAGACUUUGUACAUUAAGCUGAAUGAUGCGGACACGUUUGUUACUGGAUACUUUCCGUUACACUUCUGCCUUGGAGACUUUGUGCACGUAUCAUCCCCUACUUGCUUUUUUUGCUGAUAUCAGACCGAUAUCUUGUAUCAAUAUUGGAUCGGGACACUCCUGGUUAUGUUUUCAUAACUUUGUUGACAUAUGUUGGGAUUAUUUCAAGCAUCUUUAAUGCACAAAAUGUAAUGAAGGGUUUUUCAACAUUUUGGGGGCGAAAAUCCCAGCAAUCCCAGCUGACGCCAACUUCAGGAAGAAGGAACACGAGGAACUUGAGAAGUUCCAAGGGUCAAAAGAGCAACUGGAACGGAUGUGGACGGUCAAGGCUAGCGUGGUCCCCGUGGUAGUGGGGGCACUUGGAGCAGAGAGUGGCUCCAACAGAUCCCAGGAACAACAUCUGAAGCCUCAAUCCAGAAGAGCGCAGUCCUAGGAACAACCAAGAUACUGCGCAGAACCCUCAAACUCCCAGGCCUCUGAUAGAGGACCCGAUCUUGAGGAUGACACAGAUACCAUCCCACCGGGGAGAGAAGGACUUUUUUUUUUAUAUCUAGAGAUUUAAGCUUUGCAAAAAUAUACAUAUAUCAAUAUAUAACUUAUUUUUAACAUUAUUAUGACUGAGACCCUUUUGGGUUCCUGGGACCAAACUUGAACAGAGCCCUAAAGGUAUAAACAAAAUCUAUAUAUUGUACUGGUUUUGAAAUAAAAAAUAAAUGGCCCCGCAGGCUUGGAAUUUUCCAGUGUGGCCCUCGGUGUAACAUAAUAAUAAUAAUAAUAAUAGAUUUUAUUU